rnacentral:rRNA from 1 species
UACGGAGGAUGCGAGCGUUAUCCGGAUUUAUUGGGUUUAAAGGGUGCGUAGGCGGCUUUUUAAGUCAGCGGUGAAAUUUUGCAGCUUAACUGUAACAGUGCCGUUGAUACUGGGGAGCUAGGAUUUGGUUGCUGUGGGUGGAAUGUGUGGUGUAGCGGUGAAAUGCUUAGAGAUCACACAGAAUAUCGAUUGCGAAGGCAGCUCACAAAGCCAAGAUUGAGGCUGAGGCACGAAAGUGUGGGGAUCAAACAGGGUUAGA